rnacentral:rRNA from 1 species
CCUACGGGAGGCAGCAGUGGGGAAUAUUGCGCAAUGGGGGAAACCCUGACGCAGCAACGCCGCGUGAGUGAGGAAGGACUUCGGUCUGUAAAGCUCUGUUAAUGAGGAAAAAUGGUAGUUGGUCUAAUAGGCCGAUUAUUUGAUGGUACUCAUAGAGGAAGCACCGGCUAACUUCGUGCCAGCAGCCGCGGUAAUACGAAGGGUGCAAGCGUUGUUCGGAUUUAUUGGGCGUAAAGCGCGCGUAGGCGGACCUGCAAGUAAGAUGUGAAAUCUCGAGGCUCAACCUCGAAACUGCGUCUUAAACUACAGGUCUAGAAUCUCGGAGGGGGAAGGGGAAUUUCGCAUGUAGGGGUAAAAUCCGUAGAUAUGCGAAGGAACACCAGAAGGCGAAAGGCGCCUUCCUGGACGAGUAUUGACGCUGAGGCGCGAAAAGCGUGGGGAUCAAACAGGAUUAGAUACCCUGGUAGUCCACGCUGUAAACGAUGAAACACUAGGUAUUGGAGGAUUUGACCCUUCAUGCCGUAGCUAACGCGUUAAAGUGUUACGCCUCGGAAGUACGGUACGCGAAGACAAAACUAAACUAAAGAAAUUAAGAACGGA